UUGAGCUCUCCAGCACAAUGUUUUGUUGCAAGCGGUUGAGCACAUUUCUCCAGCUGUUCUGCGCGCUAUAGGGCACACACGAGGCUCCUUUCAUUUGUCAUCUCAUCUGAUCAAUCCAAAUCACAUAGAGCUGUCAAAACUGGUCAAAAAUGACGUUCAAAUGUUCCUUUUAAAAUCACAAGUUUGAAAAGGGG